GCUCUUGGUAUUGAUGUCCCUCCUCUGAAAGGACCCAAACUGGGACGUUUUGUGUCCCUCCUCUCAAAGCACCCAAACCGGGACAUUUUGGCUGUUCCAGCAGAACUUUCCCACGCUGCCUCUCCAUUUAGCAGCUGACAAGCCAGACCUGUAAUCACCAUCUUCAUCCCGAGACAAGCUGCAAAACAAACUGUUUCUGAAGCGCUGAAGGUGAUGCAGGUGAGCAGUGCCAGCUCAAUUCCACCUGCAUAACGCUCUGACCACCCUCUACCACCCAAUGAUGAAGCCCUCUGAUGUGCCAUGACCCUGCAGGAAUGCUCCUGGACCACUCCAUCCCUUUGAACAUCACACCCUGGCUUCAUGAACCCGCUUACAGAGCAAGAGGAAGUCCUCACUCCUCCAUCAGCCUGUUCUCUCUCCAUCAUCAGCAUGCUCCUCCAGCACCCAGCGUGGCCAGGAAAACCUCAGGGCUGCUCAGGUCCUGCAACAUGAAAGCAUCCCCAGGACUGCAGGGAUGGAGAUGGGAUGGAGGGAGCACACUCCUCAGCAGUGACAACCUCUUCUACAGUGAGUAAAUUAUACGUGUUGGCAGUGGAUAUCCUCAGCCGUAAAGAAAAUUAGAAAGCACCAUGAUUUCUGGUCAAAUAUCUUAUUUGAAACAUAAAUAAAUAGCAUUUCAAAGCAAAGCAUUCUUAAGG